rnacentral:lncRNA from 1 species
GAAGUAUAUAACUAAUGAUGAAGUAAUGUUUGAAAUGUAUGAAGUCAAACAGCUUAUGGAAUAGUCUUUCAACCCUCAGUUAUGUAAAAUAUCAGGAGGUAAAUUAAUUUCUCAUUAAUACCUAGACAAACUGGAAUUUGUUCUGUAAGAAUACAUGCAAUAAUGAAUCAUAAGUAAUUAUUGAUGCAUGAUCACUUUUUCUUUUUUGAUAGAAAUUGUGUGAAAUUUGUCAAAAUUGCUUUACUAGAGAGCAUGAAACUUGUAGAAGUACUGUCAACUGAAAUCCAACUUGAUGUGAAGUCAUGUUUUAUGCAUCCUAACAUAGCUCAUCUCAUUACCAGUAACAAGUUGUGAAAAUGAAUGUUUUUACAAAACAAUCAGUACUACAACCCAAAUUUGAUCAGCCAAAUUUUAGAGUGGAUUUUGUUUCUAUUACCUCUUUAGAGACAAUAUAUUACAGAAUUAUCCAGAUGAAAAAGUUUUCGAAGGUUAUGCAGCCAAAAGAUACUGUAGGAAGGAAAGAGUAAUAUGUGUCAGACAAGUAAUAAAAACAUUAUGUUGUUUCCAAUGAUUCUGUGAUGUCUGUUUUUGUCUGCUUUUAAAAGCUUGCAAUUUAUUGUAAUUUCUCAAAGUAAUCCAAUUUUCUAACAAAUACUAAUUUUGUUCUUUUCUUCUUAGAGUUCUACUCAAAUUGUAUCAACUUCAAACCUCACAAACCCUGUAACGGCCCCUGACAGUGAGAUAACGCAGGAUAGAACAGUGUUUUCUUGAGAGGGACAUUAGUUCACCCCUAAUGCUGCUGAGGACUUCCAGUUAAUCAGUAAACUGGAAUGAAUCAUUCCACAGAUAAGACUGCUUUCAGAAAUUGACUUCUUUGCUUUUCCUACCUAGCUAUGGAAUCUUAAUUCACCAUAAUGGAUCAGCUGCAUCCUAUAGCAGAUGUUGGCCAAAGCCUUUGGGUGUCCUUGUGCUUAAUAACUUUCUCUUUGAAAUGAGUCUGA